rnacentral:lncRNA from 1 species
AUAAAAGUGCCCUACAAAAUUUCGUUUCCCGCCUUAGCUCCCUUGUUUCGAUUUUCUCUUCGAGAUUCUAUUUCUUCCGGAUUUCCCAAAAUUUUGGCGAUUCCGCAAAAAGAACUCGAUAAAUUCUGUAUGGAUUUCCAUUUCCGUGGUGAACUGAGGUCAGUAUUGAAUAUUUUGUCUGUUUUUCUUGUAAAAAUUUUCCGGUUCUUAACAUUACUUCGCUCAUCUGUGGCUAUUUUUCGGAUUUGGAUCAUUGUUUCGUUGCUUUUGUGCUUUAAAGUGUAGAAGAUUUGAAGAUCUAGGGUUUGGCUUUCCAGAUCCUAAGGUAUUUCAUGUAAGGAUUUCCAUUUCCGUGGCGAACUGAGGUCAGUAUUGAACAUUUUGACUGCUUUUCUUGUAAAAAUUUUCCGGUUUCUUAACAUUACUUCGCUCAUCUGUGUCUAUUUUUCGGAUUUGGAUCAUUGUUUCGUUGCUUUUGUGCUUUAAAGUGUAGAAGAUUUGAAGAUCUAGGGUUUGGCUUCCCAGAUCCUAAGGUAUUUCAAUGUAAACGUCUCUCUUUUAUUGGGUGUUUUAUUGUGCGGUUUCUAUUUCGACAAUUAGUAAAAUUGAUUUCAAAUUUAGGGCAAGCAUUAACUAUGAUUAUCUUGUUUUGAUUUAGAUUCUCGUCAUCUUUGAAUGUGAAUAUCAAGCUAAGUUGUAAUCUGCUUGUUUUUUGCCCUGGUUUGAAUCCGUUGUCACCCUAUAUCUUAGCCAUCUUGCUAAGCCCCUAAUUUUUUUUUUCCAAUUUUUCUUUUGGAAUUCAUGUCUAGAAACUGAAAGGGAAAGAUCUAAAAUUUCAUGCCCUUUUAAAUUGCUUAUCUAUUCAGAGAAUUUCUGUUUUCUCAGUAUUCAAAGAAAAUAUCAGAUUAUAUUAAAAAGUUUCUACUCUUAAUAUUCAAAGCAUUUUGUUGUUUGGACUUAGUUAUGUAUAACGAGAAAUCUAUGAAGUAGAGGUCUUUCAGGCUUCAAUUAUUGAUAAAAUUGGAAAAGAUAAAAUUUUGUGCUUGGAGGCAAUAGGGAUGAUUGGGAUUGGACCCAGCUUCAUAAUUUUGCCCCCUCUAUGGUAUCUUUCCUUGGGUAUUCUACAUUUACAUGUAAUAUCUAGUAUAAAUAGCACUGUGAGAAAUCUUCCAUUUAGUAUGCUAUUAACAGGGUGAAUGAGAAGGGUGACAUGUUGAUAGCUAUAUAUUUUUCUUAGAUUGAGGCAAUAGUCUUCAUCUCUACAUCUGUUUGUUUUUUAUGUUGAGAAUACCAUUGGUUAAGCUGAGUGUAAAAUUUUGUUUAAUGAUAGUUGAUAUAAUUAACAUAUAGUUGCAGUUGGUGUUGACAUAUUUUAAUUGAUUGGAGGCUUUGAAAACUUUUACUUCUUGUUAUUGUUAUUUACAGUUGUUAGAUAGUAGGUUGCUUCCAUGCUUAAACCAUUUGAAACUGAAUUGAUACUUUUUUCUUGUUAUUAAUAGAAUGUUCUGCCCACGUCAAAUAAAUCAUAGGGAGAGAGCUAGAAGGGAAAAGAGAAGAAACAAGAGUAGAGAAUUUACAAGUCUUAUGGGAGAAGAAUGGUUGAGACAUUGACUACCUUUGAUACUAGAAAAAUAACCCAAGCGUUCUACACCCUUGACGAUCCCAACUGAAAGCACUAUACGAAUUAAUGACAAGCGAGAUAUUGAAAGCUGCUGGCCCUGUGUGUAAACCUUGUUGCAGAAUCCUUCACUUGUUAUAAUUGUUUAUGAUUGUGUGUAGGAUUUGUGUGCAGUAUAAUGUGAAUGUGUGAAAGAUAUGAAAUUGUGAAUAUCACUGUUGACAAUCAUAUUUUUUAUUACUUUAAUAUUUUGAUUGUUAAUAUAAUUG